CGCUGUCGGCUUCCGGGGCAUCAGCCGGUUCGGUUGCUGGCGUGUUUGGUAGAUUUUUUGGGCCGUGGUAUCACUAGGAAGUCUCCUUUUCUCCUUGCAGUCUCCCGCUUCCGGAUCCUGAGUGUCUUCGGUAUCGUACGGUCAAGGCUCAGCUUCGAACUUUGUACCAAAGCCCUGUGAGCGGCUUACCCAGAGCCCCGAGCCAGGAGUCAUCGGUAAGAUAUGCAAGCAACCAAAGUGCCUGUCAAUAGAUGAAUAGAUAAAGAAGAUGUGGUGCAUAUACAAUGGAAUAUUAUUCAGCCAUAAAAAAAAAUCCUGCCCUUGGCAAAAACAUGGAUGGACCUGGAAGUUAGAGAAUUCAUUUAAUAUGGCAGUUGGCCAGGGAGACUACUUAAUUUACCAGUAAGAGACAGAUUAUCUACAGUGGUGGCUAUUUUAAUGUCAGCUUGCUAGAGAGACCCCAUCUGUCUACCUUCCAGCUGCAGCUGAGGUGAACAUUCCUGUGCAAGGCCGUACACUCCUCACUGACAGUGUUCCUAAGCAGGAGCCACUUGUCUUCAGCCUUCUGCUCCAGAGCCUUCUCUGAUGCUGCUGCAGUCCGUCUGCUCACAAACAACACAACUGAAAAGUACAGGGGCUAAUGCUCCCAGGGGAACCCUUAACCAAUGAGGGAAGACAGAAGAUGGAAAAAUGUUUCUUCUUUUUUUUGAUUUUUGGGCAGAUAAUUCUGGGGGAUAUUGCAUAUACUUCCAGGAUGUCCUGGUGGCAAGCAUUGUGCACAGUACUAACUUGACACCCAAAUAUCCAGAGAUAAGGAUCACAUAGUUCAAGAAUCUGUAAGAAUGCUUGAUAGGCUCCUUCAUAUGUGGAAUUAAUGAAGAAAAUAAAAGAGCUGUACUGUGAAGGCACAAGGGAAGCAUGGAACAAGCAUGUGACCAGGGGCCUUGUGAUGUGAUGGUAAUCCCAGGUCUGGAACAAAGAAGCUGGAUUCACUUGGGCAAGUUAUUUUAAUAUCAAAAGUGCAGCCAAUUUUAUUUUUGGAAGUUUUUGUUUACAAUAAAAUUUAAACUGCCUGAAUGAUUUGUGAGGCAGUGGUGUUCUUUCAGUGCUCCCUUGCUUCCUGCUGGCAACACCAUCCAUUUACCAGACCCAAAGGCCAGAAACCAGAUGUAUUACUGACCCUCUCCCUCCUCCCCAUCUCCUAACAUCCAGCUCACCAACAUAUCUUCUUUAUUUUACCUUCUAAAUAUUUCCUUAAUGUGUACACACUAUCCCAUCUGCUGCUGUCAUUCUAUCAAUCUACUAACAUCUUUCGCCUUGACUGUACUAAUAGUUUCCUAACUGUCCUUGCACACAUCCCUUAGCUCCACUCUAAGCUAUUUAUCACAUUGCAGCCACUGUGAUCCUUUCAAAUUGCCAAUCCAAUCAUUCCACCUUCAAUCUGCUUUUAGGAUCAAGGUCAAAAUGUUUAACAUGAUCUAUGAGGCCCUGUUUAGUUUGGCUUCUAUGUGGAUUUCUGGCCUCAUCGUGUCAUCAGCCUCCCUCUUUCUAUUGUAGCUAAAUAGGUCUAACUUCUUGAACAGGCUAAGCUUUUGCCUGCCAUAGAUUUGUACAUGCUGUUUUCUCUGCCUAGCACACUCUUACCUCUCUUGUUUGCUUACUUGAUGCUCACUCUUCAUUUAGUCUCAGCUUAAUCCUCAACUCAUGGCAUCAUGGAAUGGGCUUUCAGUGUAUUCUAAUUCAAUGCAAAUGUGCAUGUGAUUAUUUGAUGGAUAUCUCUCCCCCUGCACAGUAGGUUACAUGAAGGUAAGGGCAAUAUCUAGUUUUGCUUGACCACUGAUAUCCUUUUAUAUCAGUAUAUAGCAGGGGCUGUUUUGGGAAUAGCAGUAGAUAGAAGCAGCUCAAUAAAUAACUGUUGAAUAAAUGGAUAGAAUUUAUCAUGUAUCUGGCAAGCAUUGGAGCAGUAUCUUGAUAGAUUUUCUACCUUGCUCACUUCUUGCCAAACAAAAAUGGUCUUUAUUUUCUUGUGAAUUUGUGAGUUUCUUGUGCAGUUGUGAAUAUGUUCAAAUAUUUAUAAAUUUUAGAUUAGAUUACAAAAUAUGGUAGCUGCUAGCUAAAAUUUAUAUGCUUAGCUCAAUGCCUACAACAUUGUAUUUUGAGAGCAGAGACUAAUAUGAAUAGAUGAGUUCUUCUUUUUAUUGAAGUAUAGUUGAUAUACAAUGUUAUACAACACAGUAGUUCGUUAUACACAUUAUUAAAUCCUCACCCCAACUAGUGCAGUUACUAUGAACAGAUAAAUUCUUGGCUUUCUCAGAUGUUUAUAGUUUUCCGAGUAAUACCAGUCAUGGGGUAUUACUGUUAAGAGUUAAUACUGAGUGUCUACUAUGUGCUAGGCACUGUGCUUUACAAGCAUUAUCAUGUUUGAUCUUUCCAAUAAGCUGUGAGGGGGACACUAUUAUUUUCCUCCAUUUGCAGAUAAGGAAACUAACAUUUCAGAGGAGUUAAGUAUCUGGUCAUUGUCUUAUACUUAGAAAUUGAUGGAGUUGUGAUAUGAAUCCAGACAUUAUUACCCCAGCAAUCACACCAUUAAUCCUUAAACUAUUCUAAGUUUAUCUUAUUAAUAGCUAAAAAUCUGUCUAAUUCUGCUCAGUUUUCA